AGCCAAAAGGCCCUCUCCUCUCCCUCUCCAUCGAUCAAAAACAGCCCCAAAGAAGAAUUCUCUUCUUCCAUCACCCCAUCAAAGCCCCUCUCUCCUUCCUCUCUUCAAUUCCUCUCCAAGAGAAACUCCCUCUUCUUCAAUUCUGCUAAAAAUCUUCAAGAAACAGCCCCUUCACAUCCUACAAACUCAGCCCCAAAGCCAUCCAAGAACAUCCAAGCCAAACCCGCCGAAAAUCCACCGAGCCUUUGGUUUUCUUACUCCUUCAUCUUCG
rnacentral:lncRNA from 1 species